GACGAACGCUGGCGGCGUGCUUAACACAUGCAAGUCGAACGGAAAGGCCCUGCUUUUGUGGGGUGCUCGAGUGGCGAACGGGUGAGUAACACGUGAGUAACCUGCCCUUGACUUUGGGAUAACUUCAGGAAACUGGGGCUAAUACCGGAUAGGAGCUCCUGCUGCAUGGUGGGGGUUGGAAAGUUUCGGCGGUUGGGGAUGGACUCGCGGCUUAUCAGCUUGUUGGUGGGGUAGUGGCUUACCAAGGCUUUGACGGGUAGCCGGCCUGAGAGGGUGACCGGCCACAUUGGGACUGAGAUACGGCCCAGACUCCUACGGGAGGCAGCAGUGGGGAAUAUUGCACAAUGGGCGGAAGCCUGAUGCAGCAACGCCGCGUGCGGGAUGACGGCCUUCGGGUUGUAAACCGCUUUCGCCUGUGACGAAGCGUGAGUGACGGUAAUGGGUAAAGAAGCACCGGCUAACUACGUGCCAGCAGCCGCGGUGAUACGUAGGGUGCGAGUGUUGUCCGGAUUUAUUGGGCGUAAAGGGCUCGUAGGUGGUUGAUCGCGUCGGAAGUGUAAUCUUGGGGCUUAACCCUGAGCGUGCUUUCGAUACGGGUUGACUUGAGGAAGGUAGGGGAGAAUGGAAUUCCUGGUGGAGCGGUGGAAUGCGCAGAUAUCAGGAGGAACACCAGUGGCGAAGGCGGUUCUCUGGGCCUUUCCUGACGCUGAGGAGCGAAAGCGUGGGGAGCGAACAGGCUUAGAUACCCUGGUAGUCCACGCUGUAAACGGUGGGUACUAGGUGUGGGGUCCAUUCCACGGGUUCCGUGCCGUAGCUAACGCUUUAAGUACCCCGCCUGGGGAGUACGGCCGCAAGGCUAAAACUCAAAGGAAUUGACGGGGCCCCGCACAAGCGGCGGAGCAUGCGGAUUAAUUCGAUGCAACGCGUAGAACCUUACCUGGGUUUGACAUGGAUCGGGAGUGCUCAGAGAUGGGUGUGCCUCUUUUGGGGUCGGUUCACAGGUGGUGCAUGGCUGUCGUCAGCUCGUGUCGUGAGAUGUUGGGUUAAGUCCCGCAACGAGCGCAACCCUUGUUCACUGUUGCCAGCACGUUAUGGUGGGGACUCAGUGGAGACCGCCGGGGUCAACUCGGAGGAAGGUGGGGAUGGCGUCAAGUCAUCAUGCCCCUUAUGUCCAGGGCUUCACGCAUGCUACAAUGGCUGGUACAGAGAGUGGCGAGCCUGUGAGGGUGAGCGAAUCUCGGAAAGCCGGUCUCAGUUCGGAUUGGGGUCUGCAACUCGACCUCAUGAAGUCGGAGUCGCUAGUAAUCGCAGAUCAGCAACGCUGCGGUGAAUACGUUCCCGGGGCU
rnacentral:rRNA from 1 species